UUGACCUCGGAUCAGGUASGAAUACCCGCUGAACUUAAGCAUAUCAAUAAGCGGAGGAAAAGAAAACCAACAGGGGAUUGCCCUUAGUAACGGGCGGAGUGGAGCGGGCAAAAGCUUCAAAUUUUGAAAACCUGGGCCCUUGGGGUUCCAAAUUUGAAAUUUUGGUAAAGGGAUGGAUUUUUGGUGCGGGUAUCCUUUCGAAGUUUCCCUUGGGAACAGGGACCCCUUAAAAGGGUGGAAAACCCCCGAACGGGUUGAAUGCCCAACCCCCGGAAAUCCCCCUUUCAACAAUCCAAUUGUUUUGGGGAAAAGCAAAAA
rnacentral:rRNA from 1 species